rnacentral:lncRNA from 1 species
UGUGGGUUGAGAUCCUACCCCCAGUACCUUCCAAGAGCCCUACAAAACAAAAACAAAAGCAAAAACAAAACAAAACCAAAAAACACAAAAACAAACAAACAAAACCUCUUUCCUUUCAGAGCAACUUUAAACAAAAACAAACGUCUUGUCAUCUCAGCAUGUGCUAGCGAAGACUCCCUUUCUGCCCCUUGGGACCGCCCCCCACCUUGGAUCUACCAGCUUCUGGUCACGCCAGACAAGCCUCGGAAAGUCGGUUUGCGGCUCAUCUCUGCUCUUUCUUCGGUUUUUAGCGAGCGCUGGAAACGGAGCCCACCGCCCCUUCAGUCCACAGCAUCUGCAAAAGUGGCUGCCGAGGUGGACAUGUUAGAAGAGUUCAUUGGGUUGACAACUAAUCACACACGAACACUGCAGUGAGCAACGCCUCGUUUCCCCGUCGCUUUCAGGCUGCAGAUGAGAAGGAAAGGAGAACACAUGAAGUCGGAAGAACAGGUUUCGCUACAGGGGCAUGUGAGGCAGCUGGUGACACCUGCCCCUCAUUUCCGGGCACGCACGCACGCACCUGAUUCAUCCAUCCUCCAGCCAACUUUCUAAAAAGAGUUCAAGAGUUUGAAAUUAUUCAUAGCAAAUCUUUUCUCAACUUUUGGCAUAAUUGAGUAAUCCAACUACUGAAUAAAGAAGGACUUGGUAUUUUUGGCUUCCUGGAA